rfam:Ictidomys tridecemlineatus contig054688, whole genome shotgun sequence.
GGGGAUAUAGCUCAGUGGUAGAGUGCUUCUGGGUUCAAUUCCCAGUAUACCCA